CCCCGCCCCCGCCCGCCGCCCCGCCCCGCGCCCGGCCUGCCCGCCCCGCGCCGGCGCCGCAGGAAGGAGCUGCGGGCUGCGGGCUAGCGGACCGCACCAUGCCCCGCAUCGAUGCGGACCUCAAGCUGGACUUCAAGGAUGUCCUCCUGCGGCCCAAGCGCAGCAGCCUCAAGAGCCGAGCUGAGGUGGAUCUGGAGCGGACCUUCACAUUUCGAAACUCCAAGCAGACCUACUCAGGGAUUCCCAUCAUUGUGGCCAACAUGGACACCGUGGGGACAUUUGAGAUGGCAGCAGUGAUGUCACAGCACUCCAUGUUUACAGCGGUUCACAAGCAUUACACCCUGGACGACUGGAAGCAUUUCGCCGCAGAUCACCCAGAAUGCCUGCAGCACGUGGCCGUGAGCUCCGGCAGUGGGAAGAAGGACCUGGAGAAGAUGAGCAGCAUCCUGGAAGCGGUGCCGCAGGUGAAGUUUAUUUGCCUGGACGUGGCCAAUGGCUAUUCGGAGCACUUCGUGGAAUUCGUGAAGCUGGUCCGUGCCAGGUUCCCGGAGCACACCAUUAUGGCAGGGAACGUGGUGACAGGGGAGAUGGUGGAAGAGCUGAUUCUUUCCGGAGCAGAUAUAAUCAAAGUGGGAGUUGGACCAGGUUCCGUGUGCACCACCCGCACCAAGACCGGGGUGGGCUACCCCCAGCUGAGUGCCGUGAUUGAAUGCGCAGACUCUGCCCACGGCCUGAAGGGGCACAUCAUCUCUGAUGGAGGCUGCACGUGUCCAGGAGAUGUCGCCAAAGCCUUUGGAGCCGGAGCAGACUUCGUCAUGCUCGGAGGCAUGUUCUCGGGCCACGCCGAGUGUGCUGGGGAGGUGAUCGAGAGGGACGGGCAGAAGCUCAAGCUCUUCUAUGGGAUGAGCUCCGAAACAGCCAUGAAGAAACACGCAGGAGGGGUGGCCGAGUACAGAGGCUGCUGUUGCCCUUAUUGGGGUUGGCGCUGAUGACAGGGCACACGGAGGGGCAGGACGGAGGUCCUUAGACUCAGGAGAAAGUCCCCUGUGGGAGGCCAACUGUCUUUCCCCAGAAGCCUCAGCGCUGGGAUGGAACCCAAGCCCUCUGUGUCCUACCAUUCCUACCCUCCAUGUCCCACCAUUCCUUCCACACUAACCGCUUAUUGUAAGGACAUGGGAUCCAGGUGCAUUACAUAAGGUUCAAACCAAUCCAGAGAGCGUCGGAGGGCAAGACGGUGGAAGUGCCUUACAGAGGAAACGUAGAA